rnacentral:rRNA from 1 species
CAGCCGCCACGGUAAUACAGAGGGUGCGAGCGUUAAUCGGAUUUACUGGGCGUAAAGCGUGCGUAGGCGGCUUCUUAAGUCGGAUGUGAAAUCCCUGAGCUUAACUUAUGAAUUGCAUUCGAUACUGGGAAGCUAGAGUAUGGGAGAGGAUGGUAGAAUUCCAGGUGUAGCGGUGAAAUGCGUAGAGAUCUGGAGGAAUACCGAUGGCGAAGGCAGCCAUCUGUCCUAAUACUGACGCUGAGGUACGAAAGCAUGGGGAGCAAACAGGAUUAGAUACCCCCGUAGUCCCUGUCUCUUAUAC